ACAAAAGCAACAGCAAAAAUAAUUAAUUAAAAACUGCGGUAGAUGGUUUGCUUCCAUACAUGUGCAGUAUAAACUUGUGCAUUUGUUCCGUGCCCACAGACAGGUUUCUCCUCCAAUUUUCUGGAGUGGAUUCAGGGUUGUGGUAAAGUACCAGUGAAAAUGAGGCUGUAAAUAUCCCUUAAUGAUACACAGAAAAGAAUUUAAAUUACCAGAAGGAGACACUAGAGACGUUAAAAAGUGCUGUAAAAUUACUCCUAAAUCAGGGAAUCUCCCUGAUAUAGCAUCUAUGUCCCAGGUGGAAAGCCCAUUUUCCAUACAUUUGAAGUCUCUCCUUGGUGUGGGGGUGGGCGUGGGGGUGUGCGCACGCAUACAGGAUAGUCAUGGGUGCAUUAAAGAGGUGUAUUUCCAUGAAAACUUAGAUUAAUAUGAUUGGGGCUAAAUUACGGGUAGGAUAAGAAGUUAACACCCUAACCUGGAGGAUGAGUAGGGAAAGCAGUAACUUUUCUGAUGAUCUCAGAUAACAGAGAAGUGUGACACUUCAAAAUGUCUUGUCCUCACACUGGGAACACAGGACAGGACAGAAUCUAUCUAGGAGACUGGGGGGCAGCAGUACUGAAACUCCCUUGGCAGGUUGAAGUUUGUGUUGUGGGGGGCGGGGGAGCCUUCAUGCACAUUAAUGAUUUGGAGAGAGGGGACUUCUUACAUUUUUAGUUUGUACCUCUGUCCAUCUCCACCCCCACCUUAUACACACAUUCGGAAUGGGAUAAGGGGACAGGGACUUGGGCGAGAUUGACUCAGAGAAGGUGAUGUAGAUGGGGUGGGACUUUCAGAUCAAUAGCCCCCUCUCCUCCCUUUUUCCACUGGCUGGAGUUAAUGCUUCUGCUGUUGCUGCUUUGUCAGUGUCAGUGUCUUCCUAGGCUCUGUGCAGUGCAAUUCCAAUUUCCCUAGAGCAGCAGACUCCAGCAGCCAGUUCAGGACUUUACUUCCUUUUCGACAAGUGGCUGAUCCCUAGUGUUUCACGGGAUAGAGUAUUUGCUCUCACCACAGUAUCACUCUGAUAAAAAUUGGUGAUGACUUCAGAGCUGCUGUUUUACUGCUUCAUAACCAAAGCACUUACAUUUCCUUACUGCACCAGUGAAAUGAAAGUACCAGUGUGAAGCAUGGACUCUGUGUGUAGAAGAAGGUGGUACCUUCAGUUGGGCUGUAUAUUGAUAGUGAAUUUGGUUUAUGCCAAUCCAGAAUAUCAGAAAGAACCUCCUGGAAGCCUAGGUGAGAUUGACCAUCACUGCUGGGAGAUCUCCUCUCAUAGGCUGGUGGAAAUGAAGAAACUCAAGGUAGCAGAUGCUAUCAUUGCUCUCUGGGAUUUCAUGAUGUUCCUAAAAGAAUCACCAAAGGCCAAACAUAAUGAACUCUUCAAUGACUUAGCCCAGAACUUCUGGGAUAUGUAUGUAGACUGUGUGCUUUCAAGGUCCCAUGGAAUGGGCAGAAGACAAUUACUAUCUCCCAACUAUUUUUCCACAUACUCACAGAGAACUUCACAAGGGUCAGACUUCUCAAAACAUCAGUUUUAGGCCAAAACGGGAGAAAAAUGAAGAUACCUCAGCAAGAUGACAUCAAACUGAAGGAAAAGAGCCUGCUUGUCAAAAGCACAGCCUGUACUGUAGCUGCUUAUGAGCAAUGUUCCUUUGAUGGGUUUUGAGAUUUUGUUCUAUGCUGGACGAGCACAUAAUUGAUAAAUACUUCAGAUGUGUGUUACCAACAUGUUCCCCUUUCUUUAAAUGUACCAAGGUUGCCUUUCCCCACCACUGCACAUGUGAAUGCUUUAUGUAUUUUGAGUCAAUAUCUGUGUUCUCUCAGGUAAACCUAUCUGUUUAAACUAGUGUUAUAUUUUUGUAGACAUUCAUCUUUCAAAUAAUUCUUUUUUAAAAUGUUAACUGCAAUGGAAACCCAAUAUAUUUUUAUACAUUAAACAACAGAGUUCAAUGGCAACAAGCAAAUUUUAUACAGUAUCUUGCAUAUGAAAUGGAUUUCAGUUUUAAGAUCUGCAAAAAAGUACCAAUAUCAACCCAAAGGGACAGAUUAUGCUUGAUGUAGUGAUGCUUGAUGCUUAUGCAGCCUCUAAGUUUGUAUUUGAUCACUGCUUGG